UUUCGUCAAUAAAGGUAAUCAAACAUCAAGUAUUUUCCAAACACCAAACAAAACACAUAAUCAUCAAAAUAAAUGAUGUGAUGAAAUGCAAUGCAAUAUAACACCAUGUAAUGAAUUAUCUCAGAAUACCCAGUACACACUCAACCGUAUAUACAUGAUACUCCUCGGAAAUACAUCGAGAGUUCAUCACCCAUGGGGGACUCGCGAGGUCCAUAUACCGACACGGACGAUCUCCACGUGUCUGUGCGGACGAUCUCAACGCACUAUCAUAAUAUCAAAUAAUUUUCGCACGGACGGUCUCCACGUGCCCAAAUUACUAUCUUAACCUCUCACCCUCCCCAGCACGGACGAUCUCCACGUGCCCAACUUAUACUCAGUCUCAUGUCUAUGCAUGUGCACAAUAUUGUUUCAAUAGAGGGGAUGAUGAUGCAUCUCAAUCAAUCAAUAUGAACAUAAUACAUAACCACCUCAAUUAUCACAACUAUACGGGUGAAAUAAAUAAAACACAAUCACACAAGGAAUUCAAGUCAAUAAUAUAUCAGCUAAUGCCCAUGUGCUUUGGCAUUCUCAAAUUUCAAUCCACCUUCUAUAAUAGUAAUUUUUCGUUUUAUAACACCGGUGCUCGUACCAAUGCCCGACACACCAUUGACACGAGACCACCAUCUUUCCCCCUUAUCCCUUUGUCUAUUUUCAUUUUUACUCUUUAAUUAGGAAAACAUCCUUCAACAAGUCUAAAAGUCUUAAUAUACCUUAAAUGCCGAAUCUCGUGCCGCAAUCCUUCAAGAUUUUUCCUUUCCUUUUCGCAAAGUUUCAGAAUGUUCUCAAUCUACCAAUUAUGCAAUAUUCAUAAGUAAGCGAGUUCAUAGGUACUCAAUUUAUUAUAUAUCUAACGUAAACUCCAAAGCUCACUCAUAUAUCCAAUCAGCUCCUACUCUUGUUAUAAAAUAUAUGUCGAAGAUUCCAUAUUGCUAAAUUUCAAGCCUAGUGUUAAGCCUCAACUCCUCUAAAUAUUAUGAAUUUAAGAAUACUCAUGUAACAUGAUACCACCAAAAAUUGGUUAGCUAUACCCAUAAACUUCGAGGAGUAUUACUAUAUGAAAGUUAAAAAAAAAUAAUUAAAUAAAAUAAAAAUAAUAAAAAAAUAAAAGCUUAAGACGAUAAUUAAUUAACUGUAACUUAAUCAACGAAAACAAAUUUGUUUUUUUUUAGUAAAUAAUGGCCGUUUGCAGAUUCAUAUAUGCAAACAUGGCUAUUGCCAAUGAUUGUAUCAAAUCAUUAUUCAAUGAUUACUUUUUAUGAUUAAAAUAAACAAAAUUUCCUUUUCUAUUCUAAUUCAAAUAAUUUUAUCACCCCUUUAGAUUUGUUCCACCUUUUCAUACGUUUUUUUUAAUAUAAUCAAAUUAGUCACCUAACUGUGUACAUUCACACUAAGAGAAACCUUAUAAUCUACCAAACUUUUCAUCACCGAUAUCACACCCUAACUUAACCCAUCCAAAUUCCUCCCCCUAAUAUGAUUGAUCCUUCUCAACACCGUUUACAUAAAAAUAGGAUUUACUUUCGGUAAUUAACAAAAUUAUUACAUGAGCAUUAUAAAAUUUCAUAUACAAUUUGAAGAAAAUCAGGUGCUUACCAGGAACCACCGUAAACCUUUCGCCAACCGCUGCUCUUUGCCCUAUUGUAUAAUUUUAUUUUAUUUUUUGAGUUAUGACUAACAGAUUAUUAACCCCUCUUUACUUAGCUUAAUUUCAUGGGCCAAAGAAAUAUUAAGUUGAAUUAGGCCCACUAAUAUUAACUAUAUUCAUUAUUUAUUAAAAUUUUCAUCAACUAGAUACUCUUAGUUACCGAAUACUUUAGAAAUACCCCUUUUUUUAAAAGGAGUCAAAUCAGUCCUAGUUCUCAAAACGACCUAGCGGGUCGUUACAUCACCUACCACUUAAACAAACGUUCAUCCUCGAACAGGAAAAGAAAAGAGCUAACCUGAACACUCAAAAAGAUGAGGAUAUUUACUCCUCAUGUCUGACUCUAUCUCCCAUGUAGCCUCCUCCACUGGACGAUGCUUCCAUUGAACCUUUACUAAAGAAAUCUCCUUGGACCUUAGCUUCCGAAUUUGCCUAUCCAAAAUGGUGAUCGGCUCUUCCUCAAAAGUCAAAUUCUGAUCAAGUAACACUGAAUCCCAUUGAAUCACAUGAUCACCACCGUGAUGAUACUUCUUAAGCAUUGAAAUAUGAAAUACAGGAUGAACACCUGACAACCCAGGUGGCAAAGCCAACUUAUAUGCCACCUCACCAAUACGCUCCACAACCUCGAAAGGACCAAUGUACCUUGGACUCAACUUGCCCUUUUUUCCAAAUCUCAUCACACCCUUCAUGGGUGAAACCUUAAGUAAAACCCUCUCUCCAACCAUAAACUCCAAAUCACGAACCUUCCUAUCUGCAUAACUCUUUUGCCUUCUUUGAUCCAUGAGAAGUCUAUCUUGGAUCAACUUGACCUUGUCCAAGGACUCCCUCAACAAAUCUGUACCCCAUGGUCUAACCUCAAAUGUAUCAAACCAACCAAUUGGAGUUCGACAUCUCCUACCAUACAGAGCCUCAAAUAGUGCCAUCUCGAUGCUCGAAUGAUAACUAUUAUUGUAAGCAAAUUCCGGUAAUGGAAAGAACUGAUCCCAGUGACCACCAAAGUCAAUCACACAUGCUCGCAACAUGUCCUCUAGAACAUGAAUAGUCCGCUUAGACUGACCACCAGUCUGAGGGUGAAAGGCUGUACUAAGAUCCAUCCGAGUUCCCAACUCUUUCUGCAUAGACCGCCAGAAAUGAGAUGUAAAUUGAGUGCCACGAUCUGAAAUAAUAGAAAUAGGAACCCCAUGCAAACGAACUAUCUCCCGAAUAUAGAUUUUGGCUAACUUCUCUGAAUUAUAGGUCGUAUGAACUGGUACAAAGUGUGCAGACUUAGUCAGUCGAUCCACGAUGACCCAUAUAGCAUCAAACUUACCCAAAGUACAUGGCAAUCCUACCACAAAGUCCAUAGCAAUACGCUCCCACUUCCACUCAGGUAUAGGCAUCCUCUGUGUCACACCUCCAGGCUUUUGGUGUUCAUACUUCACUUGCUGACAAUUAAGACACUGGGAGACAAAAUCUACUAUGUCCCUCUUUAUACGACACCACCAUUAAUGUUGCUUCAAGUCACGAUACAUCUUAGUAGCCCCCGGAUGAAUAGAGUACCUCGAACUAUGAGUCUCCUCCAUGAUCAAUCUAGUCAAAGCACCUGUACGAGGAACACAUAUACGACCCUUAAUCCUCAAAACUCCCUCACUAUCAAGAAUUGCAGCCUUGGCUUCUCCUUUUAAAACGUUGUCCCUAAUCUUACAUAAAUCCCCAUCAUCAAACUGUUGAGCUCGAAUCUGCUCCAACAAGGAUGACCUAGCCUCCAUAUAAGCCAAUACCUUACCAGAUUCUGAAAUAACAAGCCUCACAAAGCUAUUGGCCAGGGAUUGGACAUCCCUAGCUAGGGGACGCUCACCAACCUGUAACAUGGCUAGGCUACCCAUACUUACCGCCUUCAAACUCAAGGCAUGUGCUACAACAUUUGCUUUGUCUGGGUGAUAAAGGAUAGUCAUAUCGUAGUCUUUGAGCAACUCCAACCAUCUCCUCUGCCUCAAAUUUAGAUCCCUCUGAUUGAAUAUAUACUAGAGACUACGAUGAUCCGUGAACACCUCACAAUGCACACCAUAAAGAUAAUGCCUCCAAAUCUUUAAUGCAAACACCACAGCCGCCAACUCUAAAUCAUGAAUAGGGUAGUUCUUCUCAUGAACCUGUAACUGCCUCGAAGCAUAAGCUAUCACUCUUCCCUUCUGCAUCAACACACAACCAAGACCAACCCGAGAAGCAUCACAAUAUACGACAAAACCCUCUCCCUCCACGGGUAGGGUCAAAAUCGAAGCAGUAGUCAAUAAAGUCUUGAGCUUUUGGAAACUAACCUCACAUUCGUCAGACCACUGAAAAGUCACCUCCUUCUGUGUCAAUCUAGUUAAUGGAGAUGCAAUGGAUGAGAAACCCUCAACAAAACCGUCGAUAAUAACCUGCAAGGCCCAAGAAACUCUGAAUCUCAGUAACUGAAGUAGGUCUGACCCAAUCUCUAACCGCCUCAAUCUUCUUAGGAUCCACCAUGAUACCCUCCUUGGACACUACAUGUCCCAAGAAUGCUACCGAACUAAUCCAAAACUCACACUUUGAAAACUUUGCAUAAAAUUUCUUCUCCUUUAAAAUCCCAAAAACAAUCCUCAAAUGAUGCUCAUGUUCCUCCUUAGUGCGUGAGUAUAUCAAUAUAUCAUCUAUGAAGACAAUAACAAAGGAAUCUAAAUACGGUCUGAACACUCCAUUCAUCAAGUCCAUAAAAUCUGCUGGGGUAUUAGUCAGUCCGAAAGACAUCACCAAAAACUCGUAAUGACCAUAACGUGUUCGAAAAGCCGUCUUAGGGAUAUCCUCCGCCCUAACCUUCAGCUGAUGAUAGCAAGAUCUCAAGUCAAUUUUGGAGAAAACUGAAGCACCCUGCAACUGAUCAAAUAAAUCAUCAAUACGAGGUAUCGGAUACUUAUUUCUGAUGGUUACCUUCUUCAACUGCCGAUAGUCAAUACACAUACGCAUAGAUUCAUCUUUCUUUUUUCACAAAUAACACUGGAGCACCCCAAGGAGAUACACUUGGUCUAAUAAAACCUUUGCUCAACAAAUCCUGCAACUGCUCCUUCAACUCUUUCAAUUCAUCCGGUGCCAUACGAUUAGGAGGAAUGGAAAUAGGCCGAGUGCCUGGCUCCACAUCAAUACAAAAAUCAAUAUCACGAUCUGGUGGAAGACCUGGCAAAUCGGUCGGAAAUACUUCUGAAAAUUCACUCACUACUGGAAUAGACUCAAGCAUAGGAGUCUCUACUAGUAUCUUGAAUGUGGGCCAAGUACGCCAAACAUCCUCUCUGUACCAACUGACGAGCCUUAAGGAAUGAUAUCACACCCUUAGAAGGAUGACUAAGAGUACCUCUCCAUUCUACUAUAGGAAUUCCAGGCAUAGCUAAAGUGAUGGUCUUGGCAUGACAAUUUAAAAUUGCGUGGUAAGAAGAUAACAAAUCCAUACCAAGAAUCACAUCAAAAUCUAUCAUAUCUAAGACCUUUAAAUCUGCAUGAGUGUCAUACCCCUUCAAAGUAACAGUACAUAAACGAUAAACUUGAUCUACAACUACAGAAUCCCCGACAGGAGUAGAAACACGUAUCGGCAAAUCAAGAGACUUACACAAUAUAUCCAGACUAGGAGCAAAAUAUGUGGACACAUAAGAAUAAGUAGAGCCUGGAUCAAAUAAUACAGUAGCUGGUCGAUGACAAAUCGGAAUAAUACCUGUGAUAACAACAUGUGAGGCUUCAGCCUCUGGCCUACCUGGAAAAGCAUAACAGUGAGAACGACCUCCAUCAGAUUGUGAACCUCCACGACCACCACCUCGACAAGAAGGAGAACCACCUCUACCUAAAUGAGAACCACCUCUACCAUUCUGUGCACCACCCCUAGCUGGAGGUUGUGCAGCCCUGGAAGUCGAAACCUGAGAACCCUGAUGUAAGCCACCACGUCUUGUCCUAGGGCAGCCUCUCACAAAGUGUCCCAUAUCACCACACUCAAAGAAACCCCUACGAGACGCCGGCUGAUGAGAGGAACCGGAAUGACCAGAAUGCCCUCCACGAACUACAGGUCUAGAAGAUGAACCCUGCAAAGUAUGUACCGAGCUCGAAGAGUUAUGCCCAGCGUAACCAGCCUCAGACGCUGGUAUAGCAGCAUGAAUGGGUCUGCUGGACUGAGGGUGAUAACCUCUGCCCAAGUAACCCCGACUCCUAGGCGGAGCACCACCAUAAUCACCUGAAUAACGAGUCCUCUUGCCCUCUCGCUGCUCAAAUCCCUUACGUCGAAUCAUCUCCAACUCCUUAGCAGCAUCCACCACUUUUUGGAAUGGAACACCAGAAGCAGCAACCUGAGAAACUCCUAGACGGAUCGGAAUAAUCAGCCCCUUAACAAACCUCCUCACUCUCUCAGCCUUUGUGGGAAGUAUCAUCGAGGCAUGCCAAGCCAAGGCAUGAAAUUUACCCUCAUACUUUGCAACUGACAUACCAUUUUGCUGCAAACCCUCAAACUCGGCCCUCUUGCGCUCCCUCUCACUGCGUGGAAAAAAUUUGGAUAGAAAUACCUGAGUAAACUCAGUCCAGGAUAGUGGAUGAGAUCCAGUUGACCUACUACUAAUAUAAUCCCUCCACCACUGUUUAGUAGAGCCAGUCAUCUGAAACGCUGUGUAGUCAACUCCAUGAAACUCCACUAAUCCAAGAUUAUGCAACCUCUCAUGACAACUAACUAUAAACUCAUAUGCAUCCUAAGCUAAGUCGCCAGUAUAAGUAGAAGGAUUCAUUAGUGUGAACCUCCCAAACAUCUUUUGCUCAUCAAUAGUCAUAGAAGGCCUGUUCACCAAAUCUGAUGUCAUAUCUGGAAACUUCAUGCUAUCCAAACGAGGAGCUACAGCGGCAGCUGGCUGAGUCUUGGGAGUCUGAGAAUCUGGAGCAACUAUCGGAUCUGGAGUUUGACCUCUAACACGGGUUUGCGAGCCAUCAGAAGUGACAGGCAAAGCUCCUGCCUGGGCCAUCCCCAAUAGGAUCCCUAACAUACGAGCCAAGGUAUCUUGAAGCACUGGGGGAAUAAUAGUACUGGUUGGAGCCUGAGCUGGCCCAUACCCCUCGACACGAUCUUGUACAUCCCCAUUAAUAACCUCUGCAUCAGGAGGUACGGUCCUAUCCCGACCUGGGUAGCUACUGGUACUUUGACAUCCACAGGUGCUGCAACACGGCCACUACCCCGACCUCGAGCUCGUCUCCUACCUCUACCUCGGAUAGUGUUCCCAGAAGCAGGCGCAGGAAUAGUAUAUUGACCACCAUUUGCCGAUGUACGAUUCCUCGCCAUCUGAGAGAGAAUGAGAUAUCAAGAUUAGAAUUUCUACAAGGUCAAGUGUGCACGAUAAUGAAUAAAAGAACAGAAUAUUUCCUAAAUGUCCUAUAGCCUCUCGAAGAUAGGAAUGGACGUCUUCAUACCGAUCCGCAAGACUCUACUAGACAUUGCUCUUGUACUCUUGAGACCGAUGAACCUAGCGCUCUGAUACCAAAUUUGUCACUACCCAAAAUCACGAGUCGUGAUGGAACCUAUAUUCCCAACCAAUAGGUAAGCCAACCAACAUAUUUUAACAAACUUAACUAACAAAUAAGUGAAAAGACAACAAAUUUCCAAAUCUCCAACACUGAGUUCUUAUAAGUACGAAUGCGGAAAACUGAAAAAAAAUACUACCCAAGAAAUGUUGUCAUGAGUACAAGAGCUUCUAAAAUACGAUGCAAGUCUGAAACUAAAAAGGCAAAUCUAACAUAAGGAUAUCCUGUCUGAAUACUGAAUAACAGAAUAAGUAAAAGAUAGAGGGAGGUGUGGGCCACGGAACAGCCAAGCAGCUCACCAAAACUCCAAGACACUCCAAACUCGGACUCAAACUGCUCCUAGAGAUGUGCUCCUACUUGGAAUCGAAUCUGCACCACAAAGAGUGCAACAAGUGUAGUAUGAGUACGAAACCACGUGUACUCAGUAUGUCUCAUUGACCGACCACAAAGAAGUAGUGACGGGAGUUUAUGUAAGAAAAUAAAUUCUUAAAUUAUACAAGUAUAUAUGUAUAUAUAUAUUACACUCACUAUUUAAGUUUCAUCAAUAAAGGUAAUCAAACAUCAAGUAUUUUCCAAACACCAAACAAAACACAUAAUCAUCAAAAUAAAUGAUGUGAUGAAAUGCAAUGCAAUAUAACACAAUGUAAUGAAUUGUCUCAGAAUACCCAGUACACACUCAACCGUAUAUACAUGAUACUCCUUGGAAAUACAUCGAGAGUUCAUGACCCAUGGGGGACUCGCGAGGUCCAUAUACCGACACGGACGAUCUCCACGUGUCUGUGCGGACGAUCUCAAUGCACUAUCAUAAUAUCAAACAAUUUUCGCACGGACGGUCUCCACGUGCCCAAAUUACUAUCUUAACCUCUCACCCUCCCCAGCACGGACGAUCUCCACGUGCCCAACUUAUACUCAGUCUCAUGUCUAUGCAUGUGCACAAUAUUGUUUCAAUAGAGGGGAUGAUGAUGCAUCUCAAUCAAUCAAUAUGAACAUAAUACAUAACCACCUCAAUUAUCACAACUAUACGGGUGAAAUAAAUAAAACACAAUCACACA
rnacentral:lncRNA from 1 species